rnacentral:rRNA from 1 species
UACGGAGGGAGCUAGCGUUGUUCGGAUAUACUGGGCGUAAAGCGCACGUAGGCGGCGCCGCAAGUCAGGGGUGAAAUCCCGGAGCUCAACUCCGGAACUGCCCUUGAAACUGCAGUGCUAGAAUCUUGGAGAGGCGAGUGGGAAUUCCGAGUGUAGAGGUGAAAUUCGUAGAUAUUCGGAAGAACACCAGUGGCGAAGGCGACUCGCUGGACAAGUAUUGACGCUGAGGUGCGAAAGCGUGGGGAGCAAACAGG